rnacentral:lncRNA from 1 species
GCAGUAUAUACAUUAAGGCAACAUAAUAGAUGAAUGAAGCUAAUAUACGUAGAAAAAAAAAUGUCUAUGCUCUAGCAAGGAGGAAUCUGAAACAAAUACCUUCAGUAGCAAGGAGAAAUUUUGUCUUGUCUACUUGAGCUUAGACGAAAAGAGAGAAGCAAUCAAAUUUUUCCUUCUUACUUUUCCGAAACUGUUAACUUACUGCAAUUCAGGAACCAAAGUAGAUUCUGAAUAGUAACUCUUCUGGUGUUUCUCCAAUAAUGUCAAGGAGAGAGAAAAUUAAGACAUCUGAGCAAAAUACCAUUUCAAGGUCAAUCUCCGUAAAAUAGCCAAUACAAAUUAUCUGCAACCCAUCAUAAAAUCUCAUGCUUUGCAAAAGUCUCAACAUCCUUCCCUCCCUUGAACUCCAAAAUCAAAAUAAGUUUGUUUUCCAUAAUCCCUUAAUGACUUCUCGCCCGAUAGUUGGAAUUUAACAGAACUGGAGCUUUUGCUCGACAAGCACCAUAUUUAUACUUGAAUACGUCAAUUAAUGAAGAGAGUGGUUCAAUUCCUGUUAAUAUCAAGAUCAAUUGAUAGUCUGGAGAGCAUAUACAUUUAUUCUUAAUCAAGCAUAUAAGAUCCAGAUUUCAUCAAUGCAUUUAAUCUUUUCAAGAGUGCAAGUAUUUCACCAGAAUUAGGACGAGAUUUAUGACCUCCAACUAUAUCCAGGAAACUUUUUAACUCCUCUUUCUUGCAUUUUUGUCCUCACUGAAUUAACCCCCUCCCAGUUGCCUGAUUCCGCAUAUAUAUUGGAAAGCAGCACAUAUGGAGAAGAAUUUUGUGGUUGCAACUGAAUAAGCUUUUCUGCUGCAUACUGCCCUCUUACGUCAUCCCCGUGCAAUCUGCAUGCACCGAGAUAUGUGGACCAUAACAUAGCAUCAGGCUCAAAGUCUAGGUUGACAAUGAACUCCUCUGCUUCUUUGAGAAAACCCCAACGCCCAAAAAGGUCAAUCAUGCAAGCACAGUGAUCUAUUCGUGGACGAACCCCAUAACAAUGAAUCAUAUUAUUAAAUAUUUUUUGACCUUCGAAUACCAUUCCUGCAUGAUUACAUGCAGUAAGAACACCAAGGAAUGUGACUUCGUCAGGUUUUACAUGCGCCUGAUUCAUCUCUUCAAAGAUCUUAAGAGCAUUUUCCGCAUAACCAUUUUUUGCAUAUCCAACAAUGAUUGAGUUCCAUGAAAUAACGUCUUUCUUGCUAACCAUUUCACCAAAAACAUGUGCUGAACUUCUCAUAUCCCCACAUUUAGCAUACAUAUCUACAAGCGCACUGCCUAUCAGCUCAUCUUCAUUAUAAGCAGUACGAAAGAUUAAAGAGUGCAUUUUCCUGCCAUCCUCCAAAGAUGCUAACAUAGAGCAUGCUCUAAGUACACUUGCAAAUGUCGCUUGGUCUGGCUUCGCAUUAUGAUGACACAUUUCACUAUACCAAAAUAAUGCAUUCUCACAACAGUCAUUUUGAAUGCUUCCUGAUAUCAUAGCAGUCCAAAUUAUUGUGCUUUUUGGAUAAGGAAGCUCGCAGAAAAAAAUGUUUGCAUCUGUCAUUUUUUGAGCAUUCAUGUACAUGCCCAAGACCGAGACGGCUAUAAAUUCAUCAUGAUGUGCAAGACCUAGUUUUAAAAUAGAACAGUGAAUUUGCUUUCCGAAAUGCAGAUUAGUGUCACCAGUGCAUGAUUCCAAAAGGGUGGCGAAAGUGACUUCUGAUGGCCUCAGUCCACCAGCCAGCAUAUUCUGAAAUAUAUUUACAGCUUCAACUAAGUUUACUUGAGCAUAACCAGCAAUCAGAGCAUUUGUGCAUGCCACGCUUCUUUCAGUCAUGCAUGAAAACACUUUAAUUGCAGAUCCAAUUAUUCCACACUUGCAAUAAAAGUCAAUUAGCGAGCCGCAAGCAUAAAGAGCUCUUUCUAGACCAUAUUUUACCAAAAAACAGUGUACUUGUGUACCCUUAUAAAGAUCUUGUAAAUUUGCCGUAGCACUGAGUAUGCUAGCUAAGGAUACCUCGUCAGGUGCAAUCCCCUCUGACAUCAUUCUACGGAACAAAGAAAAAGCUCCUUCCUCUUCUUCUUCCUGCACAUAUCCAACAAUGAUUGCAUUCCAAGAAACAUGAUCUCGACUUUUGAUUAGCUCAAAUUGCUUCCUUGAGUUGGCCAGAGCCCCGCACUUAGCAUACAUAUCUACUAGAGCAUUUCCUACAAAUAAGUUUUGUUCAAAUUUGUUCUUGAUUAUAACCGAAUGUAACUGGGACCCUGUUUCUAUAUUUCCUAAACAAGCACAAGCACUCAAAGCACUAGUGUAGGUAUAUUCAUCAGGAUGAAAUCCGCAGAUUCUCAUAUUCAAAAAUAACUCUAGAACCUCACAAGCAUACCCAUUCUGUGCAUAACCUCCAAGUAAUGCGUUCCAUAGCACAUCAUUUUUCUCUCCCAGUCCAUUGAACACUUCCUUUGCAGCUUCCAUUUUCUGACAUUUGGCAUACAUACUAAUCAAAGAACUUCCAACAUAAACAUUAGAAUCCAGCCCCAGCUUCAUUGCCAAACCAUGAACCUGCAGGCCAUAUUCAUAGUUUACUAAGUAUGCAAUAGCACUCAAAACACUUCCUAGUGUGGAACGUGUUGGUUUGAAAUCAGCUUUGAUCAUAUUUCGGAGAAGUCCAAUAGCUUCCCCCUCAUGACCACCCUUGGCAUGCCCUGAUAUAAGUACAUUCCACGCAACAAUGUUUGGAUUAGGCAUUUGAGAAAACAAAUGGCACGCAUCAUCAAGGCAUCCUAACUUCACACAUGCAUUUAUGGUGGUUACAAAUGCUACCUGAUCCGGCAUGUGACUUCCUGUUCUCAUCUCCUCAAACAUUUCCAUUGCCUGCUCAAGCAGACCAACUUGAACAUACCCCGAGAUCAUGGCAGUACACGAAACUGUGUCGUGGUCGGUAGCCCCAUCAAAUAUUUUCCUAGCAUCUUCAAUGUACCCACAUUUCGAGUACAUAUCAAUCAAAGAACCCUCACAAAAUGCAUCAACUUCAAAUCCCAUUUUUACCACCCCACAAUGCACUUGCUUCCCAGACUUCAAGUCCAUCAACUUUGCACAAGCAGAUAAAACAAUUGCACAACUGAACUGAUUCCCCAGCACCCCUCGAUUCCACAUGGACCCAAAAGCCUCCACAACACUUUCCAAGAACCCGUUACGCGAAUAUAUGAACAUAAUCGAAUUCCAUGCCAUUUUAUCCCUUUCCUCUAGGCGUAAAAAUACCCUUUCCGCAUAAUCAAUGUGGCCACAUUUUGAAUACAAGUCCAAAAUUGCAUUCCCCAAAUUCCCUUUGGAGGAAAUCCCAAGUUUCAAACUCAGGGCAUGGACAAUUUUGCCAGUCUUUAAAGAAAGACCGAGUCUUUUUGGCAUUUCCUCGAACACUUGGCGGGACUGGACAAUCUGGCAUUGCUGCAAACACAUGUUCAACAAAGAAUUGUAUAAACUAUGUUCUUCUGUUAGAGAAUUAUAAAUUUGAAAGCCUUUUGCUGUGGUUGUCGAGAAAUUGAGAUGGCGAUUCAAUAAUUUUGAAUUUGCAAUAAGCCGUGGGAGUUUGAUACGAAAUGUGCAACGCAUUAGAUAUGUAACUUGAAUAGAAGAAUAAGAUUUUUUUCAUAAGCGAUUACUUUUAACAGUUUUUCAAUCAUAUGGGGAAAAUGUUUACGCAUGCCAAUGAAUUUUGGAGAAUCAGGGAUUAGUCCCAAAUUUGAUUUAAAUUGACUGAAAUAUUAUGAACUGACAAAUUAGAAAUUUAUUUGUCAAAAAAAAUUAAAAAGAAAUGAGCAAGAACUUGACAACUCGACU